rnacentral:rRNA from 1 species
GCCAGACUCCUACGGGAGGCAGCAGUGGGGAAUAUUGCACAAUGGGGGAAACCCUGAUGCAGCGACGCCGCGUGAGUGAAGAAGUAUUUCGGUACGUAAAGCUCUAUCAGCAGGGAAGAAAAACCGGCCUUAGGGCCGCCAGACGGUACCUGACUAAGAAGCCCCGGCUAACUACGUGCCAGCAGCCGCGGUAAUACGUAGGGGGCAAGCGUUAUCCGGAUUUACUGGGUGUAAAGGGAGCGUAGACGGCAGCGCAAGUCUGGAGUGAAAUGCCGGGGCCCAACCCCGGAACUGCUUUGGAAACUGUGCAGCUGGAGUGCAGGAGAGGUAAGCGGAAUUCCUAGUGUAGCGGUGAAAUGCGUAGAUAUUAGGAGGAACACCAGUGGCGAAGGCGGCCUGCUGGACGAUGACUGACGUUGAGGCUCGAAAGCGUGGGGAGCAAACAGGAUUAGAUACCCUCGUAAA